rnacentral:rRNA from 1 species
ACUCCUACGGGAGGCAGCAGUGGGGAAUAUUGCACAAUGGGCGCAAGCCUGAUGCAGCCAUGCCGCGUGUGUGAAGAAGGCCUUCGGGUUGUAAAGCACUUUCAGCAGUGAGGAAGGCGGAGUCGUUAAUAGCGGCCUCGUUUGUACGUUAGCUGCAGAAGAAGCACCGGCUAACUCCGUGCCAGCAGCCGCGGUAAUACGGAGGGUGCGAGCGUUAAUCGGAAUUACUGGGCGUAAAGCGCAUGCAGGUGGUUUGUUAAGUCAGAUGUGAAAGCCCGGGGCUCAACCUCGGAAUAGCAUUUGAAACUGGCAGGCUAGAGUACUGUAGAGGGGGGUAGAAUUUCAGGUGUAGCGGUGAAAUGCGUAGAGAUCUGAAGGAAUACCGGUGGCGAAGGCGGCCCCCUGGACAGAUACUGACACUCAGA